rnacentral:rRNA from 1 species
UACGUAGGGGGCUAGCGUUGUCCGGAAUCAUUGGGCGUAAAGCGCGCGUAGGCGGCCCUGUUAGUCCGCUGUAAAAGUCAAAGGCUCAACCUUUGAAUGCCGGUGGAUACUGCAGGGCUAGAGUCCGGAAGAGGCGAGUGGAACUCCUGGUGUAGCGGUGGAAUGCGCAGAUAUCAGGAGGAACACCGGUGGUGUAGACGGCUUUCUGGACCGUAACUGACGCUGAGACACGAAAGCGUGGGUAGCAACAGG